ACGGAAGGCAGCAGUGGGGAAUAUUGCACAAUGGGGGAAACCCUGAUGCAGCGACGCCGCGUGAGUGAAGAAGUAUUUCGGUAUGUAAAGCUCUAUCAGCAGGAAAGAAAAUGACGGUACCUGACUAAGAAGCCCCGGCUAACUACGUGCCAGCAGCCGCGGUAAUACGUAGGGGGCAAGCGUUAUCCGGAUUUACUGGGUGUAAAGGGAGCGUAGACGGCUUUGCAAGUCUGAAGUGAAAGCCCGGGGCUCAACCCCGGAACUGCUUUGGGAACUGUAGAGCUAGAGUGCAGGAGAGGUAAGUGGAAUUCCUAGUGUAGCGGUGAAAUGCGUAGAUAUUAGGAGGAACACCAGUGGCGAAGGCGGCUUACUGGACUGUAACUGACGUUGAGGCUCGAAGGCGUGGGGAGCAAACAGGAUUAGAUACCCUGGUA
rnacentral:rRNA from 1 species